rnacentral:rRNA from 1 species
AUUGAACGCUGGCGGAAUGCUUUACACAUGCAAGUCGAACGGCAGCAUAGGUGCUUGCACCUGAUGGCGAGUGGCGAACGGGUGAGUAAUACAUCGGAACGUGCCCAGUCGUGGGGGAUAACGUAGCGAAAGUUACGCUAAUACCGCAUACGAUCUACGGAUGAAAGCGGGGGACCGUAAGGCCUCGCGCGAUUGGAGCGGCCGAGGUCAGAUUAGGUAGUUGGUGGGGUAAAGGCCCACCAAGCCAACGAUCUGUAGCUGGUCUGAGAGGACGACCAGCCACACUGGGACUGAGACACGGCCCAGACUCCUACGGGAGGCAGCAGUGGGGAAUUUUGGACAAUGGGCGCAAGCCUGAUCCAGCCAUUCCGCGUGCAGGAUGAAGGCCUUCGGGUUGUAAACUGCUUUUGUACGGAACGAAAAGCUCUGGGUUAAUAUCCCGGGGUCAUGACGGUACCGUAAGAAUAAGCACCGGCUAACUACGUGCCAGCAGCAGCCGCAG